rnacentral:rRNA from 1 species
UACGAAGGGGGCUAGCGUUGUUCGGAAUCACUGGGCGUAAAGCGCACGUAGGCGGAUUGUUAAGUCAGGGGUGAAAUCCUGGAGCUCAACUCCAGAACUGCCUUUGAUACUGAAGAUCUUGAGUUCGGGAGAGGUGAGUGGAACUGCGAGUGUAGAGGGUGAAAAUUCGUAGAUAUUCGCAAGAACACCAGUGGCGAAGGCGGCUCACUGGCCCGAUACUGACGCUGACGGUAGAGCGACGGGAAGGCAACUGGGGAAGUCAAGAAACCAUA